rnacentral:rRNA from 1 species
CAAUAGCGUAUAUUAAAGUUGUUGCAGUUAAAAAGCUCGUAGUUGGAUUUGUGGCGUACGGUGUGUUCCGGGCACUUGUUGUCUGAGUAACCUGCUGUUGCCAUCCUUGGGUGGAACCUGUGUGGCAUUAGGUUGUCGUGCAGGGGAUGCCCAUCAUUUACUGUGAAAAAAUUAGAGUGUUCAAAGCAGGCUUAUGCCGUUGAAUAUAUUAGCAUGGUAUAAUGAGAUAGGACUUUUUUGCUAUUUUGUUGGUUUGCGCAAGAAGGUAAUGAUUAAUAGGGACAGUUGGGGGUAUUCGUAUUCCAUUGUCAGAGGUGAAAUUCUUGGAUUUUUGGAAGACGAACUACUGCGAAAGCAUUUACCAAGGAUGUUUUCAUUAA